UCUUUUACAAAAAUCUUCUCCUCUGAAACUCCGUGGCCAAAUUAAACCAAACUUGGCCACAAUCAUCAUUUGGUUAUCUAGUUUUAAAAAUGUGUGGCGUGACCUGGUCAACCAACCAAGAUGGCCGCCACGGCUAAAAAUAGAACAUAGGGGUAAAAUUCAGUUUUUGGCUUUUAACUCAAAAACCAAAGCAUUUAGAGCAAAUCUGACAUGAAGUAAAAUUGUUUAUCAGGUCAAGAUCUAUCUGCCCUGAAAUUUUCAGAUGAAUCUGACAACCCGUUAUUGGGUUGCUGCCCCUGAAUUGGUAAUUUUAAGGAAAUUUUGCUGUUUUUGGUUAUUAUCUUGAAUAUUAUUAUAGAUAGAGAUAAACUGUAAACAGCAAUAAUGUUCAGCAAAGUAAGAUUUACAAAUAAGUCAAUAUAACCGAAAUGGUCAGUUGAUCCCUUUAGGAGUAAUUGCCCUUUAUAGUCAAUUUUUAACCAUUUUUCGUAAAUCUUAGUAAUCUUUUACAAAAAUCUUCUCCUCUGAAACAACUGGGCCAAAUUAAACCAAACUUGGCCACAAUCAUCAUUUGGUUAUCUAGUUUUGAAAAUGUGUGGCGUGACCUGGUCAACCAACCAAGAUGGCCGCCACGGCUAAAAAUAGAACAUAGGGGUAAAAUUCAGUUUUUGGCUUUUAACUCAAAAACCAAAGCAUUUAAAGCAAAUCUGACAUGAAGUAAAAUUGUUUAUCAGGUCAAGAUCUAUCUGCCCUGAAAUUUUCAGAUGAAUCGAACAACCUGUUGUUGGGUUGCUGCCCCUGAAUUGGUAAUUUUAAGGAAAUUUUGCUGUUUUUGGUUAUUAUCUUGAAUAUUAUUAUAGAUAGAGAUAAACUGUAAACAGCAAUAAUGUUCAGCAAAGUAAGAUUAACAAAUAAGUCAACAUGACUGAAAUGGUCAGUUGACCCCUUUAGGAGUUAUUGCCCUUUAUAGUCAAUUUUUAACAAUUUUUCGUAAAUCUUAGUAAUCUUUUACAAAAAUCUUCUCCUCUGAAACUCCGUGGCCAAAUUAAACCAAACUUGGCCACAAUCAUCAUUUGGUUAUCUAGUUUUAAAAAUGUGUGGCGUGACCUGGUCAACCAACCAAGAUGGCCGCCACGGCUAAAAAUAGAACAUAGGGGUAAAAUUCAGUUUUUGGCUUUUAACUCAAAAACCAAAGCAUUUAGAGCAAAUCUGACAUGAAGUAAAAUUGUUUAUCAGGUCAAGAUCUAUCUGCCCUGAAAUUUUCAGAUGAAUCGGACAACCCGUUAUUGGGUUGCUGCCCCUGAAUUGGUAAUUUUAAGGAAAUUUUGCUGUUUUUGGUUAUUAUCUUGAAUAUUAUUAUAGAUAGAGAUAAACUGUAAACAGCAAUAAUGUUCAGCAAAGUAAGAUUUACAAAUAAGUCAAUAUAACCGAAAUGUUCAGUUGACCCCUUUAGGAGUAAUUGCCCUUUAUAGUCAAUUUUUAACCAUUUUUCGUAAAUCUUAGUAAUCUUUUACAAAAAUCUUCUCCUCUGAAACAAC